GAUGAACGCUGGCGGCGUGCCUAAUACAUGCAAGUAGAACGCUGAAGGAGGAGCUUGCUCUUCUGGAUGAGUUGCGAACGGGUGAGUAACGCGUAGGUAACCUGCCUGGUAGCGGGGGAUAACUAUUGGAAACGAUAGCUAAUACCGCAUGACAACAGUUAUUGCAUGAUAACUGUUUAAAAGGGGCAACUGCUCCACUACCAGAUGGACCUGCGUUGUAUUAGCUAGUUGGUGAGGUAACGGCUCACCAAGGCGACGAGACAUAGCCGACCUGAGAGGGUGAUCGGCCACACUGGGACUGAGACACGGCCCAGACUCCUACGGGAGGCAGCAGUAGGGAAUCUUCGGCAAUGGACGGAAGUCUGACCGAGCAACGCCGCGUGAGUGAAGAAGGUUUUCGGAUCGUAAAGCUCUGUUGUAAGAGAAGAACGAGUGUGAGAGUGGAAAGUUCACACUGUGACGGUAGCUUACCAGAAAGGGACGGCUAACUACGUG
rnacentral:rRNA from 1 species